AUUGAACGCUGGCGGCAGGCCUAACACAUGCAAGUCGAGCGGGGUUUUCGGACCUAGCGGCGGACGGGUGAGUAAUGCGUAGGAAGCUGCCCGAUAGAGGGGGAUACCAGUUGGAAACGACUGUUAAUACCGCAUAAUGUCUACGGACCAAAGUGUGGGACCUUCGGGCCACAUGCUAUCGGAUGCGCCUACGUGGGAUUAGCUAGUUGGUGAGGUAAUGGCUCACCAAGGCGACGAUCUCUAGCUGGUUUGAGAGGAUGAUCAGCCACACUGGAACUGAGACACGGUCCAGACUCCUACGGGAGGCAGCAGUGGGGAAUAUUGGACAAUGGGGGGAACCCUGAUCCAGCCAUGCCGCGUGUGUGAAGAAGGCCUUAUGGUUGUAAAGCACUUUAAGCGAGGAGGAGGCUCUUUUGGUUAAUACCCAAGAUGAGUGGACGUUACUCGCAGAAUAAGCACCGGCUAACUCUGUGCCAGCCGCCGCCGUAACAC
rnacentral:rRNA from 1 species